AAACUUGGGCUAAUACCGCAUGAGCCCUGAGGGGGAAAGCGGGGGAUCUUCGGACCUCGCGCUAAGGGAAGAGCCUACGUCUGAUUAGCUAGUUGGUAGGGUAAAGGCCUACCAAGGCGACGAUCAGUAGCUGGUCUGAGAGGACGACCAGCCACACUGGGACUGAGACACGGCCCAGACUCCUACGGGAGGCAGCAGUGGGGAAUUUUUCGCAAUGGGGGCAACCCUGACGAAGCAAUGCCGCGUGGAUGAAGAAGGCCUUCGGGUUGUAAAGUCCUUUCGUGGGGGACGAAAAGGCGGGUCCUAAUACGAUCUGCUGUUGACGUGAACCCAAGAAGAAGCACCGGCUAACUCCGUGCCAGCAGCCGCGGUAAUACGGGGGGUGCAAGCGUUAAUCGGAAUCACUGGGCGUAAAGGGUGCGUAGGCGGUACGUUAGGUCUGUCGUGAAAUCCCCGGGCUCAACCUGGGAAUGGCGGUAGAAACCGGCGCACUAGAGUAUGGGAGAGGGUGGUGGAAUUCCAGGUGUAGCGGUGAAAUGCGUAGAGAUCUGGAGGAACAUCAGUGGCGAAGGCGGCCACCUGGCCCAAUACUGACGCUGAGGCACGAAAGCGUGGGGAGCAAACAGGAUUAGAUACCCUGGUAGUCCACGCCCUAAACGAUGAAUACUAGAUGUUUGGUACCUAGCGUACUGAGUGUCGUAGCUAACGCGAUAAGUAUUCCGCCUGGGAAGUACGGCCGCAGGUUAAAACUCAAAGGAAUUGACGG
rnacentral:rRNA from 1 species